UUCGGAUCGUAAAACUCUGUUAUUAGGGAAGAACAAAUGUGUAAGUAACUGUGCACGUCUUGACGGUACCUAAUCAGAAAGCCACGGCUAACUACGUGCCAGCAGCCGCGGUAAUACGUAGGUGGCAAGCGUUAUCCGGAAUUAUUGGGCGUAAAGCGCGCGUAGGCGGUUUCUUAAGUCUGAUGUGAAAGCCCACGGCUCAACCGUGGAGGGUCAUUGGAAACUGGGAAACUUGAGUGCAGAAGAGGAAAGUGGAAUUCCAUGUGUAGCGGUGAAAUGCGCAGAGAUAUGGAGGAACACCAGUGGCGAAGGCGACUUUCUGGUCUGUAACUGACGCUGAUGUGCGAAAGCGUGGGGAUCAAACAGGAUUAGAUACCCUGGUAGUCCACGCCGUAAACGAUGAGUGCUAAGUGUUAGGGGGUUUCCGCCCCUUAGUGCUGCAGCUAACGCAUAAGCACUCCGCCU
rnacentral:rRNA from 1 species